UACAGAGGUCUCAAGCGUUGUUCGGAUUCAUUGGGCGUAAAGGGUGCGUAGGUGGCGGGGCAAGUCUGGUGUGAAAUCUCGGAGCUCAACUCCGAAACUGCACUGGAUACUGCCUUGCUCGAGUACUGGAGAGGAGAUUGGAAUUUACGGUGUAGCAGUGAAAUGCGUAGAUAUCGUAAGGAAGACCAGUGGCGAAGGCGGGUCUCUGGACAGUUCCUGACGCUGAGGCACGAAGGUCAGGGGAGCAAACGGG
rnacentral:rRNA from 1 species